ACCUGUAGGGAGGCAGUGGUGGAGAGGGCGCUGAAGGGCGUACGGUUCGGUUCGAGGGCCAGAGGAGCAGCACAGCGGGGCCAGGUGGCGAGAAGAGAGUCUCAGCCGCGCCCCUGCCUCGCCCUGUGUCCCUCCGGGGCCUCUCCUCUGCAAAGUGGGGCCUCUGUAGUGGUUGAGCUCCCAGGCCCAUAACGGGUUGGACAGCGAGGCCCUGACUGUUGGGGAAGGGGACAGAGAUGGGCUCUGCCUCUGAGUCCCCGGCUCACCUGUACGGCUCCCAGGUGUUCUAUCAGCUGCUCUGCACUUGACACCCCCAGCAAGACCGAGCUGACACCCUCGCUGCGGAGACACCACGCUGGGGCCAGAGGAGACAAGAAAGAGAACUGAUGGAGAACAGCGGGCGUACACACCUCAGAAGUGUCUCUGGGGAAGAGAGUCCUCCUUAGGGACAGACCAGUCUGGGGUUUGGGGGUUUCCCGGCAGGAGGCUCUGCGUAGCUACGGAGGUGACAUGAGGAAGAGGAAGACAAAUUUCACGGAAGGAGGAGCCUCCCAGUUGGGCAGCAAAUACGGCUACAUAAACCAGUAAUUGACAGAUUGUGCAUCAGAGGGCAGUAUAAAGGGCUUUGGGACCUGAGGUGAGUGGUGACCAGUUUGGGGAGCUGGACAAUGGCUUCUCGGAGGAGCUGACGUUUGGGCCAAGUCUUGAAGAUAAGCUGAAGAGUUUGCCAGAUGGAGAAGAGGCCAGGGGGAUGGGGGGGGGGUUGGUGAGGGAGCUCAUCUAGGGUUUAGCUACUCCCAGCGUGAAGCCAUGGGUAUGUGACACGUGGCCUGGCAUGUUUGAAAAUUCAGCUUUGUAAUCCUCACAUCGUUGCACAUAAUGGAUGCCCCGGAUAUAGGUGUUGGUUUUAUUUCAGUUUUAUUGCACAGGACGCCCUUCGCCCCCUAAGCUGAAGAUGAACUUGUUGGGACUACAAUUCCCAUAGUGCUUUGGGGGCCCCUUGGCUGAAAGGUCGGAAGUUCGUGUUAACAGAAUUCCCAAGGUCCCCCAGAGGGAAAACAAGAAGCCCCGAGGUUCUCUUAGCCUUUCAAGGGUAACUUGGCUUUUUCACCCCAGUCCUUACUUUCCCGCUGCAUACACUUCAGCCGUGUCAAACAGGUUUACACCAUGCUCAUAGGCUACUGUCAGCACGUCCUCUGCUGUCUAGGGAGGUGAGAGAAAGAGAUGAAGACCAACCACUGGCCCUCAGGGACCCCCCUCACUGCACUCCCGCCCAUGGCAGCUCAGCCCUGGCCUCCACAUUCUCCCCCCGUCCCCAGCCUCAGGUCCGCCAUUCUCCCUGUUUGUUGUCCAAACCGCUCUCCACGUCCACAUCCCUCUUUUCUGGCUCCCUCACAGCCCCUGGCCCUGCUUUCAGGUCCCAUCACUGAUACCUCAUCCGAGAUUUGAGAACCGAAUGUGACCCAGGUGCCUGCAAGAGAGAAGUCAGGUGGGAGGCAAGCCACGAAGGCCCCCUCCCUUCAUUCCUCUUCUUUCGAACUCACCUAGGCCAAGACAGGAUACUCGAAGACCAGACUUUCCCAGGUUCCUGCAGGAUACAGAAGCGGCAGGAAGGGGUGGAGCCUCCAUUAAGGGCAUAUAUUCUCAGCCCCCAGCUCCUCUCCUUCCAGAAUCAGAAGCCCUCAGGGUAUCUCAGUCCAAAGGAACUAGAUCCAGUGGGCCUACCGCAUUGGGCAGUGCUAUGCCCAAAGCCUAAGUGAACAAAUAAAGGACUCUGGAGCCGAUGUCCAGUGCCCCUGUCCCUCCUAGCACAUGGGAGGUGUGCUGCCCGGCUUGUAUUUCUUCUGCUGGGGUCUUGUCUGCGUUCCAGGCAUCUCUGGGAUGUGUGGAGUUCAAGGCUGGGAGGAAUGUGACAGGCUGAUUGUGGUCAGUUGGUGAAAUCAGACCCUUAGAUAGAGGGUGCUAUACCACAGGGCAGACACUGAGGCGGAAGGGGGUAAACCAAGUCAAGUUCAGGCACUCAGGCAGGCAAGGGUCCUUGGACAGGCUAGGCUGAUGGGCCCCCAAAACGCAGCUGGGACCACCUGACUAUGACAGGAAAGGCCAGCUCUGUCUCUUCCUCCAUCCACUGCUGUUGGCUUGUGGAGUCUGUCUCUGAACCAGAGAGCCCCCUCCUCCCAAGGCCUCCUCACUCAAAGCCAACACAUGGAGGAGAUCAGAUUGCUCAAGUGACAAAGUCAGGUCAGAUCAGUGACCUCUGCUCACUCCCAGGCAGGAGCCCCUCCCUUCUGCCCUAAUGCAAGUUCUGAGAGCCCAGUGGGUCUCCGAGAAAGUCCGUUAUGAUUCAGUCCACCUUCACCAAGCCCCUGUCCCUCAGCAGGGGGUUGAGAGAUGUGCCCCAUGCUUCCAAGAGCCCCACUCCCCUCCCCACCAAGAAAGGUGGCAGGAGACCCAGCCCUUGGGGCAGGCAGGGGGGGUAGUAUCUGGGUCAGGCAUCCUGAGCAGGCCAGAGUGUGAAGCCGUUUCCUUCCCCGCUCUUCCCAGGACACAGACCCAAGGACACUCCAUGCCAGAGGGGGCCCAGCCUGGAGAUCCGUGCAUCCCUGGACUUCCUGGGGGGGAUCGACGAAGACAAAGAGAGAGGGACCGAGUAAGGGAGAGCCCCGGUGAAGGGAAGAAGAGGUGGAGUGAACUGGGAUCUUAGCGAAGAUUGACGGGUCCUGGAGGCAUCCCAGGAAACCUCAGGGGUCAGGAAAGGGGAGCAGAUGGGGUGGGCUGCUCGGCCACCACCAUACCUGUAUUUCA